UUCAUUUAGAGCCUCAUUUAAAUACAGAAUGAGUUCAUUUGCAUAUUGAUCAGAUGCUUCAGUGCUCUGAGAGUGUUUAUAGUGCUGUGAGUUUAACACUUCAUCACUGACACACACAACAAUCUUCAUCAACAUGACCUUCAUCAUCAUCUUCAUCUGGACUCUCACAGCGUUUGCUCAAGAGUGUAGAGGACAGAUCACCGUCACUCAGAGUCCCUCAAUGACAGCAGCUCAACCAGGACAAACUGUGAACAUCAACUGUAAAACCAGCUCAGAUGUGUAUUAUCAUAGUUCUUAUGGACAUUAUUUAUUCUGGUACUUACAGAAACCUGGAGAAGCUCAUAAACUCCUGAUUUAUUGGGCCAACCGCCUCCAGUCAGGAACUCCAUCUAGAUUCAGUGGCAGUGGAUCUAACAGUGAUUUCACUCUGACCAUAAGUGGAGUCCAGACUGAAGAUGCUGGACAUUAUUACUGUAUGAGUAUACACUGUCCUAGUAGCUGUGUGUUCACACAGUGAUAAAGAGUCGUACAAAAACCUCCGUCAGUCAGAGUCACAGUGACUGAACUGAUACUGCAGCUGCUCACACACUUUCACACACUUUCACACACACUCAACAACAGACACUCUAAAUCAUAAAGAGAUUCUCUCAGAAAGGUUUCUUUAGAUCACUGUAAACUGAACACAAUCACAAACUCCAGAAAAUGUAGUUGUAAACAGAAGCAUGUAUGUUCAUUCAUCUUCAGCUGUCAAUCAUAACACAAGAGCAGCAUAUAUAAACAGCAGCUUACGUCACUCCAGUGAGAAUAUUCUUCCUGCGUCCCUCCAUCACU